rnacentral:rRNA from 1 species
GACUACGCCUUGCUCCCCCUACUCGUCGCCUUCUUCCCCGCCUUGCGCUUGAUCCUCGAUCAAUUCGUCUUUGAGGUGUUAGCAAGACGACUUAUAUUUAGAAAGGGACAUGACAAGAUUGCUGAAAUACAUGAAAGGAGAAACAAAAUCCACAAAUUUAAAGAAUCAGCCUGGAAAUUUGUUUAUUUUCUUUCGGCGGAACUAUUUUCAUUAUCUGUGACAUACAAUGAGCCAUGGUUCACAAAUACAAGAUACUUUUGGGUAGGGCCCGGCGAGCAGCUCUGGCCUAAUCAAAAGAUGAAGCUGAAGCUUAAGGCUGUAUACAUGUUUGUUGCUGGAUUUUACAUAUAUUCUAUCAUUGCACUUCUGAUCUGGGAAACAAGGCGAAAGGACUUCGGAGUUUCCAUAUGUCACCAUGUGGCAACUGUUGUUCUAAUUGUUAUGUCCUAUAUUUGCAGAUUAUCUCGUGCUGGGUCAGUCAUUUUAGCCAUCCAUGAUGCAAGUGAUAUAUUCGUAGAGAUAGGAAAGAUGGCCAAGUACAGUAGCUGUGAGUGGCUAGCUGCUGUGGCAUUUCUAUUUUUUGUGGCUUCUUGGAUCCUUCUUCGGCUAAUAAUUUUUCCUUUAUGGAUCCUAGGAAGCACAAGUUAUGAAGUAGCUAUGAUCCUGGAAAAGGACAACAACAAAAUCUACAGAAGCUCAUAUUACUAUCUUUUCAACACUCUCUUGUUCUCACUUCUAGUCUUUCACAUAUAUUGGUGGGUAUUGAUUUAUAGGAUGCUUGUCAAACAAAUCCAGUCCAGUGGGCAUGUUGGUGAGGAUGUUCGAUCCGGUCAGUUACUCUUUUCUUGCUCAUUUCCUCGGUGUUACAUUUAUUUUCUUUCUCAGCAGCAUCUUCUUAUGUAUUUCUUAUAA